rnacentral:tRNA from 1 species
GAUUCCGUAGCUCAGCUGGGAGAGCGCAUGCUUGACAGGCAUGAGGUCGGUGGUUCGAGCCCACUCGGAAUCAUCA